GGGUUGUGAGGUUAAGCGACUAAGCGUACACGGUGGAUGCCCUGGCAGUCAGAGGCGAUGAAGGACGUGCUAAUCUGCGAAAAGCGUCGGUAAGGUGAUAUGAACCGUUACAGCCGGCGAUGUCCGAAUGGGGAAACCCAGUGCAAUUCGUUGCACUAUCGUUAACUGAAUACAUAGGUUAACGAGGCGAACCGGGGGAACUGAAACAUCUAAGUACCCCGAGGAAAAGAAAUCAACCGAGAUUCCCCCAGUAGCGGCGAGCGAACGGGGAGCAGCCCAGAGUCUGAAUCAGCUUGUGUGUUAGUGGAACGGUCUGGAAAGUCCGACGGUACAGGGUGAUAGUCCCGUACACCAAAAUGCACAGGCUGUGAACUCGAAGAGUAGGGCGGGACACGUGGUAUCCUGUCUGAAUAUGGGGGGACCAUCCUCCAAGGCUAAAUACUCCUGACUGACCGAUAGUGAACCAGUACCGUGAGGGAAAGGCGAAAAGAACCCCGGCGAGGGGAGUGAAAAAGAACCUGAAACCGUGUACGUACAAGCAGUGGGAGCACCUUCGGGUGUGACUGCGUACCUUUUGUAUAAUGGGUCAGCGACUUAUAUUCUGUAGCAAGGUUAACCGUAUAGGGGAGCCGCAGGGAAACCGAGUCUUAACUGGGCGUUAAGUUGCAGGGUAUAGACCCGAAACCCGGUGAUCUAGCCAUGGGCAGGUUGAAGGUUGGGUAACACUAACUGGAGGACCGAACCGACUAAUGUUGAAAAAUUAGCGGAUGACUUGUGGCUGGGGGUGAAAGGCCAAUCAAACCGGGAGAUAGCUGGUUCUCCCCGAAAGCUAUUUAGGUAGCGCCUCGUGAAUUCAUCUUCGGGGGUAGAGCACUGUUUCGGCUAGGGGGUCAUCCCGACUUACCAACCCGAUGCAAACUACGAAUACCGAAGAAUGUUAUCACGGGAGACACACGGCGGGUGCUAACGUCCGUCGUGAAGAGGGAAACAACCCAGACCGCCAGCUAAGGUCCCAAAGUCAUGGUUAAGUGGGAAACGAUGUGGGAAGGCACAGACAGCCAGGAUGUUGGCUUAGAAGCAGCCAUCAUUUAAAGAAAGCGUAAUAGCUCACUGGUCGAGUCGGCCUGCGCGGAAGAUGUAACGGGGCUAAACCAUGCACCGAAGCUGCGGCAGCGACACUAUGUGUUGUUGGGUAGGGGAGCGUUCUGUAAGCCUGCGAAGGUGACCUGUGAGGGUUGCUGGAGGUAUCAGAAGUGCGAAUGCUGACAUAAGUAACGAUAAAGCGGGUGAAAAGCCCGCUCGCCGGAAGACCAAGGGUUCCUGUCCAACGUUAAUCGGGGCAGGGUGAGUCGACCCCUAAGGCGAGGCCGAAAGGCGUAGUCGAUGGGAAACAGGUUAAUAUUCCUGUACUUGGUGUUACUGCGAAGGGGGGGACGGAGAAGGCUAUGUUAGCCGGGCGACGGUUGUCCCGGUUUAAGCAUGUAGGCUGGUUAUCCAGGCAAAUCCGGAUAAUCAAGGCUGAGGUGUGAUGACGAGGCACUACGGUGCUGAAGUAACAAAUGCCCUGCUUCCAGGAAAAGCCUCUAAGCAUCAGGUAACAUCAAAUCGUACCCCAAACCGACACAGGUGGUCAGGUAGAGAAUACCAAGGCGCUUGAGAGAACUCGGGUGAAGGAACUAGGCAAAAUGGUGCCGUAACUUCGGGAGAAGGCACGCUGGUGUGUAGGUGAAGUCCCUGCGGAUGGAGCUGAGACCAGUCGAAGAUACCAGCUGGCUGCAACUGUUUAUUAAAAACACAGCACUGUGCAAACACGAAAGUGGACGUAUACGGUGUGACGCCUGCCCGGUGCCGGAAGGUUAAUUGAUGGGGUUAUCCGUAAGGAGAAGCUCUUGAUCGAAGCCCCGGUAAACGGCGGCCGUAACUAUAACGGUCCUAAGGUAGCGAAAUUCCUUGUCGGGUAAGUUCCGACCUGCACGAAUGGCGUAAUGAUGGCCAGGCUGUCUCCACCCGAGACUCAGUGAAAUUGAACUCGCUGUGAAGAUGCAGUGUACCCGCGGCAAGACGGAAAGACCCCGUGAACCUUUACUAUAGCUUGACACUGAACAUUGAGCCUUGAUGUGUAGGAUAGGUGGGAGGCUUUGAAGCGUGGACGCCAGUCUGCGUGGAGCCAACCUUGAAAUACCACCCUUUAAUGUUUGAUGUUCUAACGUUGGCCCCUUACCGGGGUUGCGGACAGUGUCUGGUGGGUAGUUUGACUGGGGCGGUCUCCUCCCAAAGCGUAACGGAGGAGCACGAAGGUUAGCUAAUCCUGGUCGGACAUCAGGAGGUUAGUGCAAUGGCAUAAGCUAGCUUGACUGCGAGCGUGACGGCGCGAGCAGGUGCGAAAGCAGGUCAUAGUGAUCCGGUGGUUCUGAAUGGAAGGGCCAUCGCUCAACGGAUAAAAGGUACUCCGGGGAUAACAGGCUGAUACCGCCCAAGAGUUCAUAUCGACGGCGGUGUUUGGCACCUCGAUGUCGGCUCAUCACAUCCUGGGGCUGAAGUAGGUCCCAAGGGUAUGGCUGUUCGCCAUUUAAAGUGGUACGCGAGCUGGGUUUAGAACGUCGUGAGACAGUUCGGUCCCUAUCUGCCGUGGGCGCUGGAGAAUUGAGGGGGGCUGCUCCUAGUACGAGAGGACCGGAGUGGACGCAUCACUGGUGUUCGGGUUGUCAUGCCAAUGGCACUGCCCGGUAGCUAAAUGCGGAAGAGAUAAGUGCUGAAAGCAUCUAAGCACGAAACUUGCCCCGAGAUGAGUUCUCCCUGAGACUUUAAGUCUCCUGAAGGAACGUUAAAGACGAUGACGUUGAUAGGCCGGGUGUGUAAGCGCAGCGAUGCGUUGAGCUAACCGGUACUAAUGAACCGUGAGGCUUAACCUUACAACGCCGAAG
rnacentral:rRNA from 1 species